UCCCCGAUAGCUCAGUUGGUAAAGAAUCUGCCUAUAAUGCAGGAGACCCUGGUUCAAUUUCUAGGUCGAGAAG
rfam:Ovis aries breed Texel chromosome 16, whole genome shotgun sequence.